UGUGUGAUGAUGUACAGAGUCUGCGAAACACGCAGGUCGCGGAGCCCCGGCUGUGCGCGCCAAUUGAACUGCUGUAUUUCUUGGGUGAACAAUCUCUGAUG
rnacentral:snoRNA from 15 species